rnacentral:rRNA from 1 species
UACGUAGGUGGCAAGCGUUGUCCGGAAUUAUUGGGCGUAAAGCGCGCGCAGGCGGUCUUUUAAGUCUGAUGUGAAAGCCCACGGCUCAACCGUGGAAGGUCAUUGGAAACUGGAAGACUUGAGUGCAGAAGAGAAGAGCGGAAUUCCACGUGUAGCGGUGAAAUGCGUAGAUAUCUGGAGGAACACCGGUGGCGAAGGCGGCAUCCUGGACCGAGAUUGACGCUGAGGCGCGAAAGCCAGGGGAGCAAACGGG